rnacentral:tRNA from 1 species
GCACCGAUGGUCCAGUGGUAAGACCCAUGCCUGCCUAGUAUGGAACCCGGGUUCGAAUCCCGGUCGGUGCACCA